GCGCUUGCUUCAGCAGCACGUAUACUAAAAUUGGAACGACACAGAGAAGAUCAGCAUGGCCCCUGUGCAAGGAUGACACGCAAAUUCGUGCAGCAUUCCAUAUUUUC
ensembl:snRNA U6 U6 spliceosomal RNA